UGCUGGGGGACAUUGUGCAGGCUGCACAGCUCCAGCAGCUGUGUGAAAUCUUCUGACUGCAGGACCAUGGGGAGGUCACCUGGACGUGUCGGAGGCGGGAAAUGGGUCUCGUGAUUCCUAAGACAAGCACUACACCACUGGAGCCAGUCAACAGAUUCCAAGGGGGCUGCAAGGUGACUGCUGAAGAAGGCUCAGAGAACAGACUGAUUCAAAAUGGUAGGUGCCACAUUUUUUCCUGCUUUUAGUUGAUUCAUGGACUGAGUAUGGAGUCCAUGCUUUUUAGGAAAAGCAAUCUGAGGAACACCUACAAUGCUUUUUUAACUGAA